rnacentral:rRNA from 1 species
AGUGAACGCUGGCGGCAGGCCUAACACAUGCAAGUCGAACGGCAGCACAGUAAGAGUUUGCUCUUACGGGUGGCGAGUGGCGGACGGGUGAGGAAUACAUCGGAAUCUACUUUUUCGUGGGGGAUAACGUAGGGAAACUUACGCUAACACCGCAUACGACCUACGGGUGAAAGCAGGGGAUCUUCGCACCUUGCGCGAUUGAAUGAGCCGAUGUCGGAUUAGCUAGUUGGCGGGGUAAAGGCCCACCAAGGCGACGAUCCGUAGCUGGUCUGAGAGGAUGAUCAGCCACACUGGAACUGAGACACGGUCCAGACUCCUACGGGAGGCAGCAGUGGGGAAUAUUGGACAAUGGGCGCAAGCCUGAUCCAGCCAUACCGCGUGGGUGAAGAAGGCCUUCGGGUUGUAAAGCCCUUUUGUUGGGAAAGAAAAGCAGCAGGUUAAUACCCCGCUGUUCUGACGGUACCCAAAGAAUAAGCACCGGCUAACUUCGUG